UNGGACUACCCUUUUCAGUGUACAUGAGGU
rnacentral:piRNA from 1 species